rnacentral:sRNA from 1 species
AUCUAAACCCGAUAGUACGAAUGCCGAUUUUUUCUAUCGGCAGUAGGGAUAGCGGGGCCGCAG